CGGCAUGCCUAAGACAUGCAAGUCGAACGAAGUAGUCCAAUGAAGAUGGAGUGCUUGCACAAAAUUGGAAUUGGGUUGCUACUUAGUGGCAGACGGGUGAGUAACACGUGGGUAACCUACCUUAGAGACUGGGAUAACGGUUAGAAAUGAUCGCUAAUACCGGAUGAUACGUAAUUAGAUAACUAGAUACGUUAAAGGAGCAUUUGCUUCACUUUAAGAUGGGCUUGCGUUGUAUUAGCUAGUUGGUGGGGUAAUGGCCUACCAAGGCAACGAUGCAUAUCCGAGCUGAGAGGCUGAUCGGACACACUGGGACUGAGACACGGCCCAGACUCCUACGGGAGACAGCAGUUAGGAAUAUUCGUCAAUGGGGAAACCCUGAACGAGCAAUGCCGCGUGAGUGAUGAAGGCCCUAUGGGUUGUAAAACUCUGUUGUAAAGGAAGAAUACCUAGUAUAGGAAAUGAUGCUAGGAUGACGGUACUUUACCAGAAAGCCCCGGCUAACUACGUG
rnacentral:rRNA from 1 species